GCCUGGCCAAAUGGCAAAACCUCGUUUCUACUAAAAAUAAGAAAAAAAUUAGCUGGACAUGGUGGCGCACGCCUAUAAUCAAAGCUAAUCAAAGCUAAUCAAAGCUAAGGUGAGAGGAUCACCUGAGCCUGGGAGGUUGAGGCUGCAGUGAGCUGUGAUUGUGCCACUGCACUCCAGCCUGGGCAACAGAAUGAGACCCUGUCUCAAAGUGAAAACAAAAACAAAAAAAUGAAACAAGAGAAAAAAAAACAAGAAAGAAAAUGGUAAGGGGGUAGUGCCUAAUUAUUAAGCUUUUGUUGUGAAUAGUAGCUUGCAUAUCAGAUGUUUACUGUAAUAUUCUUAAAGCUUUGCCAGGCCUACAGCUUGCUGUGUGCUUUUCAACUCUAUUUCAUUUAUUUGGGAAAUAAUACAUCAAUGUACUUUAUUCAUUCCCAGCUCUAACCAUGGAAUACUGGGAAUGUCCCUUUCUAUGAAGGAGGUUUGUCGGCCACAACAGGAAUAUUCAUGAACAUGGAGGGGUUGGGCAUGUUCCAGGAUCUGUCUAUAGACUUCUCUCAGGAGGAAUGGGAGUGCCUGGACACUGCUCAGAAGGACUUAACAGAGAGAUGUAAUGAUGGAGAACUAUAGCAGCCUGGUCUCACUAGGUCUCUCUAUCCCAAAGCCUGAUGUGAUUUCCUUACUGGAGCAAGGGAAAGAGUCCUGGAUGGUUUCAAGGGACGUACCAGGAGGAUGGUGCCCAGAUUUGUACCAGGCACUGGAGAACCUCCCACCUGGUCCAUGCCCGGCUCCCGGUGAGCACCGAGACCCAACCUUGUGCACAGCCAGUCUUGUUAUCAACAAACAGGCUAGUAAAUUAUAAAAAAUAAAAUAAAGGAAAUGUAGCUGGGCGUGGUGGCAUGCGCCUGUAAUCCCACCUGCUCCGGAGGCUGAUGCAGGGGAAUCGCUUGAACCCAGGAGGUGAAGGUUGCAGUGAGGCGAGAUCGCGCCACUGCACUCCAGCGUGGAUGGCAAGAGCGAAACUCCUUCUCGAAAUAAUAAAUAAAAUAAAGGAAAUGGGGCCGGGCAUGGUGGCUCACGCCUGUAAUUCCAGCACUUUUGGUGGCCGAGGCGGGCGGAUCACUUGAGGUCAGAAGUUCGAGACCAGUCUGGCCAACAUGGUGAAACCCCUUCUCUACUAAAAAUAAACAAUUAGCCAGGCAUGGUGGCGGGUGCCUGUAAUCCCAGCUAUUUGUGAGGCGGAGACACAAGAAUCGCUUGAAUCCCGGAGGCAGAGGUUGCAGUGAGCCGAGCUCGUGCCACUGCGCUCCAGCCUGGGCGACAGAGCAAGACUCCAUCUUAAAAUAAAAUAGGCCGGCCGAGGGUGCUCAUGCCUGUAAUCACAGCAUUUUGGAGGCUGAGGCGGGUGGAUUGCCUGAGCUCAGGAGUUCAAGACCAUCCUGGCCUACAUGGUGAAACCCCAUCUCUACUAAAAAUGCAAAAAUUAGCCGGGCAUGGUGGCGCAUGCCUGUAAUCCUAGCUACUUGGGAGGCUGAGGCAGGAGAACGUUUCAACCCAGGAGGCGGAAGUUGCAGUGAGCCGAGACCGCCACAUUGCACUCCAGCUUGGGUAAGAGGAUUGAAACUCCAUGACAAAAAAAAAAAAAAAAAAAAAAAAAAAAAAAAAAACAGCAAAUAAAUAAAUAUAAAAGAAAUAGACAAAGCAAACCUUAAUGCAUGAACUCAAACAAAUGCUUUCACUGCCAGGCUCCAUCUUUGCAAAACUGAACCUAGGACAAUGUGAACGUUUCUAACUAGCAAUUCUGGAGGACAGAUCAGGGAAGCAGCGUGAGCUUGCUUUUCUGCAAUUUAAUUGACUGGUCAGUAAAGUCAGUGUUUGCAGGCAUUUUCAAUGUUCUGUAGUGGGCUUCAGUGCCUGUGGCAGGCCAGGUUUCCAAUAGCACCAGAACGGUUUCUACUAACCCUUUACUAUAAUUUUGAUGAAUGCAUAAGUUAACGUUAAAGAAAUGGAGAAACUGGUGCCUGAGUAUCAGGGAUGGAACGUGAAAACAAACCCAUUGAGACCCCGUCUGGGUUUUCUCAGACCCUAAAAUCUGAUCGAAUAAUGAUAGCAUUCGUACACAUUCAUUCACCUCAGCCUGUCUUAAGAUUCAGAAACUUUCCAAGACUCUAGAGAAAUCCUUCCAGACGCUAGACCUGAGUUAAAGAUUAGAUGUUGAUUGAAUGAAACACUCCUGCUUGUAGGUGCAAUCCCACAUGGAGCUUAAGAUGCAUAUAAGCACUAGAAAAAAAAACUUGUAACUUUGAGUUGGUCUGGUGAUUUACCUGGCGCUUCUCCCUGUAAGUGGCUGCAGAAAUAAACUUCCUUUUUUCCCAGUCUGUCUGUAUCUUAGUAUUGAACAAUUGCGAUGGAGCUGCCCAGCAAAGUCCUCUUUUGUGUGGUUAUCUGGCACUCCUUUUGGAGGGAACGUUUUAAAUUUUCCAUUUCAAAGCAUUCUCUUGGCACUCUUACACUGUUUUUCUCUGCCAACCCUGGGACCUGAGUUCUCCUGGACUUGAAUCUGCAGCCACAGAGCCUAGAAGAUCAUUCCUCCACAUUCUGUGACUGUUCCCCAAACACAGGGAGAAUUUGCAGAAAAUAAGCCCAAAAAUCUUGCCAUUCUUUGCAAAAAAACCCCACAUUACAAACUGCUGAAAACAGGAUUUUACCCUGAAUAGGUUGUUCCUCUAUUUGAAACCCUUUACAAUUUUGGAGGGAAGUUUCCAAAUCAAUCAGUAAGUACCCCCCACCCCAGGUUUAUCAUUAUGUAAAGUGCCCCCUUUGCACAUGCAAGAUUGAAUAAACCUUGAAAAUAUUAUGCUAAGUGAAAGAAGCCGGUCACAAAGGACCACAUGUUAUGUAAUUCCAUUUAAAUAAAAUGUCCAAAAUAGACCAAUACAUAGCAACAGAAAGUAGAUUUGUGGUGGCCCAGGGUUAGGGGAGUUGGGGGAAAAUGGAGGGAUAUGGUGUUUACUUCAGGGUAAUGAAAAUGAUCUAAAAUUUAUUGUGGUGAUGUUUGCAUAACAGUGCAAAUAUACUGAAAACCACUGAAUUUUACACUUUA